rnacentral:rRNA from 1 species
GGGUGGAGACAGGAGGGUGGCUAUGGCCACCGCCAGUCUUUUCCCUCGUCCGCCUGUUAACGUUGACUGAGAUUGAGUUCUCAGCAGCGGGCUCAGGCACUUUGAUAUUAUUUACCCUUUUUUGUAAAUAUGUUACUCAAUUUUGCAGGAUACUAAUCAUGUACACUUGAGUCAACUUACUUAUUCUUUUUGAGCAAAUUAUAGUGUUUCAGGCAGGCGUGCGCCGGAAUACAUUAGCAUGGAAUAAUCUUACGGACCGUGUGUGCUGCUCCGGCAGCAUCUCCUUAUUUGUUGGUUUCUUUAAGGACACGGAAUGAUUAAUAGGGAUAGUUGAGGUUUUAUAUCUCACCAGGGGAGGCAUUAGUAUUUAAUUUCCAGAGGUGAAAUUCUUUGAAAUUUGUAAAGACUAACUUAUGCGAAAGCAUUUUUCUUUUCUUUUACUGCCAAGAAUGUUUUUAUUUUAUUUGUUUAUCGAACAGAACGAAAGUUAGGGGAUCAAAGACGAUCAGAUACCGUCCUAGUCUUAACCAUAAACGUUGCCGACUAGGGAUCGGAGGGCGUGCACAUUCCGCCUUCGGCACCUUACGAGAAAUCAUAAGUAUUUUGGGUUCUGGGGGUAGUAUGGUCGCAAGGCUGAAACUUAAAGGAAUUGACGGAAGGGCACCACCAGGAGUGGAGCUUGCGGCUCAAUUUGACUCAACACGGGAAAUCUUACCAGGUCCAGACAUAGGAAGGAAAUUGACAGAUUGA